rnacentral:rRNA from 1 species
UUCCGGUUGAUCCUGCCGGACCCGACUGCUAUUUGGGUGAGAAUAAGCCAUGCGAGUUGAAUGGGAUGCCUAAAGUUCCCAUAGCAAACUGCUCAGUAACACAUGAUCAACUUACCCUAUAGAGAAAAAUAACCUCGGGAAACUGAGGAUAAUGUUUCAUAAUUGAAUUGGCUUGGAAAAGUUUUUCAAUGAAAGGGAUAAAAAAAAUGGUUUUUAUCUGCUAUAGGAUAGGAUCGUGUUCGAUUAUGGUUGUUGGUGAGAUAAUGGCUCACCAAGCCGAUAAUCGAUAGGGGCCGUGAGAGCGGGAGCCCCGAGAUGGGUACUGAGACAACGACCCAGGCCUUACGAGGCGCAGCAGGCGCGGAACCUCCGCAAUACACGAAAGUGUGACGGGGUUACCCAAAGUGUUCAAUAGAACUGUGGUAGGUGAGUAAUGUCCCCUACUAGAAAGGAGAGGGCAAGGCUGGUGCCAGCCGCCGCGGUAAAACCAGCUCUUCAAGUGGUCGGGAUAAUUAUUGGGCUUAAAGUGUCCGUAGCCGGUUUAGCAAGUUCCUGGUAAAAUCGGGUAGCUUAACUAUCUGCAUGCUAGGAAUACUGCUAUACUAGAGGGCGGGAGAGGUCUGAGGUACUACAGGGGUAGGGGUGAAAUCUUAUAAUCCUUGUAGGACCACCAGUGGCGAAGGCGUCAGACUGGAACGCGCCUGACGGUGAGGGACGAAAGCCAGGGGAGCGAACCGGAUUAGAUACCCGGGUAGUCCUGGCCGUAAACGAUGCAUACUAGGUGAUGGUACGGCCAUGAGCCGUAUCAGUGCCGUAGGGAAACCGUUAAGUGUGCCGCCUGGGAAGUACGGUCGCAAGGCUAAAACUUAAAGGAAUUGGCGGGGGAGCACCACAAGGGGUGAAGCCUGCGGUUCAAUUGGAUUCAACGCCGGAAAUCACUAGUGCGGCCG